CAGCCGCCACGGGAAUACAGAGGGUGCGAGCGUUAAUCGGAUUUACUGGGCGUAAAGCGUGCGUAGGCGGCUUUUUAAGUCGGAUGUGAAAUCCCUGAGCUUAACUUAGGAAUUGCAUUCGAUACUGGGAAGCUAGAGUAUGGGAGAGGAUGGUAGAAUUCCAGGUGUAGCGGUGAAAUGCGUAGAGAUCUGGAGGAAUACCGAUGGCGAAGGCAGCCAUCUGGCCUAAUACUGACGCUGAGGUACGAAAGCAUGGGGAGCAAACAGGAUUAGAUACCCCUGUAGUCCCUGUCUCUUAUAU
rnacentral:rRNA from 1 species